rnacentral:rRNA from 1 species
CAGGUAGGGAUACCCGCUG